rnacentral:lncRNA from 1 species
AGCUGCCUGGCAAGCACACCUGAUUCUUACAGGAAGUUCUAUGCACUAAGUUUUUCACUUAAUGCUAUAAAGAGCAUUCCCUCCAAGCUGGGUGUGGCACCGAAUGCCUUUAAUUCCAACACUCACGAGGCAGUGGCAGGCAGAUCUCUGUGCUCUAAGACAGCCUGGUCUAAGACCUUGCCUCAAAAAAAAAAAAAAAAAAAAAAAAAAAAAAAGAUGAAAAAACAAAAACCCCGGAUUUCUGAGUUCGAGGUCAGCCUGGUCUACAGAGUGAGUUCCAGGAUGGCCAGGCUACACAGAGAAACCCUGUCUG